rnacentral:rRNA from 1 species
AAGACCUUGCGCUUUUGGAGCGGCCGAUGUCUGAUUAGCUUGUUGGUGAGGUAAAGGCUUACCAAGGCUUCGAUCAGUAGCUGGUCUGAGAGGACGGCCAGCCACACUGGGACUGAGACACGGCCCAGACUCCUACGGGAGGCAGCAGUGGGGAAUUUUGGACAAUGGGGGCAACCCUGAUCCAGCCAUGCCGCGUGAGUGAAGAAGGCCUUCGGGUUGUAAAGCUCUUUCAGCCGGAACGAAACGGUUACGGUUAAUACCCGUGACUACUGACGGUACCGGAAGAAGAAGUACCGGCUAACUACGUGCCAGCAGCCGCGGUAAUACGUAGGGUGCAAGCGUUAAUCGGAAUUACUGGGCGUAAAGCGUGCGCAGGUGGUUUUGUAAGUCAGAUGUGAAAUCCCCGGGCUUAACCUGGGAACU